CCUCAAGAGAAGCUUUGAGAGGCUCAAUGAGCUCUGGAAACUCAAUCUCUUCAAGGGCCUUGAACACAUCUUCUGCAUUUAUCGUUUGCCUCUUAGACUCCUUGCAUAUGUCAUUAGCAGUUGCGGAGAGGUAAUGGAUGAAAAUUCGAGCACUUUCAGAGAAAGCAAGAAGCGAGUCACGAAGAAGUGAGAUAUCAGUAUCUGUAGAUAGCUGAGAAAGCUUUUCCUUCACAAGCCUACGUACAAUAGUCUUGGGAAGACCCUCUUGAUCGAUUUGCACUGUUGUUUCUGCUACUACUUUCUCCUUCUCCUUGUUCUGCUUCUCUAUCUCCGCCAUUUUUCCCCUCUCUGUGUGUGUUUGGCUGAAUACUGAAAGAUGAUUUUUGGGG
rnacentral:misc_RNA from 1 species